UAAGACCGCUAGGGGAUCCCCAAUAAAGGGGCUGAGAUGAAAGUGUUUCUUUUUAAACCCUUAUAACCUGAUCUGGUUUGUACCAGCGUAGGGAAGUGGAUUACGGCAUAA
rnacentral:ncRNA from 2 species